UGGGUACAAACAUAUGAUUGAGAAGUAGUAUAGGAAUCACCUCAUGUCCUAGGUUUCAUUUCUUCGUUGUAUUGAAGUGGAAGUGGCGUGAUCGACGGAUGGAAACGUAAUACUAUUCGUUCUGUCUGUAGGACAGUGUAACUGUUUUUAAAAUAAUGUCAUAGAAGUCUCCUGGAUUACAAAAAUUCAAAUGAAAUGGCAGUUUCAAUUAGAACAUAUUCGUGUAAAAUAGUUCCUGCUAUUCAGGUUAUUUCAAGUAGGAAAAAUUUGCAUUUGUAUAGUGAUUCAUUACAAUCAAGACCCAGUAUUGCAGGAGCCAUCUCUAGAUCAGUAUUUCUUAACCAGUUUUUGUGCAAACGAAGAUUAAGAAGUAUUUCAUCAAUCCGAUCCAUAGAAGACUAUCAGUUUGAAGAAGAUCAAAAUGAGUUCAAACCAAAGUUGAAUAUUUGUAAUAAUGGGGAGCAAGCAUCCUUUAGUUUAAAUCUUCAGAUUAAUUCAUUCCAACCUUCAUUAGUAUACACUAAUAAAAGAGCAUGUAGGAAGGAUAGUCUUCUACCACAAAAUGGGCUCAGGGAGACAUAUCUUUACAAUAAAUAUUCACAGUCACCUUUAUUGUUUGGUAUAUAACUUCAAGCCCUUUCAUUUCUGACUACGAGAAGCAAUGAUAUUGCUAUCUGAGACAACAAAGGAACCUUCGCCAGAGCCUCCAAAAAAUGAAAGUGGAAAACCAACAGCUGAUCAACUUAAUGUUGUACAUAAAGUAUUGUCAAAUACGUUACCAAAGCUUUUUGUACAACCACUUGAUUAUUCGAUUUACCACCAAAACUUGAUAUUUGAAAACAACAUAAGAGGCACAAGAACAGUGGGUAUUUUCCACUAUGUAAGGCAGAUUGCUCUGUUACGAAUGAUUGGUCAUUUUAAAUUUGCUUACGUCAAGUUUGACAUAUUGAAGAUAACAUCUCACCCAGAGGAUGGGAACUGUUAAAGUUCGUUGGAGGAUUAGAGGAAUUUCUGGCAUGAAAGUCUUUUUCAACUUCUGGAAAUUCAACAUACUGAAUAUGAAAGAAUCUGUUGAAAGAGAACAAGAAUCGUGGUACGAUGGAUUCUCUGUUUUUCUUUGUCGAUGGUGAAGGAAAAGUAUUCAAGCAUGUGGUCGAUAAGAUGCAACCAGACCCAGAGGAGAAAACAGACAUAGUGAAACCUACUCUGGCAACUAAGAUGGCGUUGAUGUUGGGUCUGACUCCGCUCGACUGCCUUGUGUACCCCCAUGUG